rnacentral:rRNA from 1 species
ACUGAAUAGAUACCCAGGUAGUCCACGCCGUAAACGAUGGGCACUAGGUCCUUGGGGGAGCGACCCCGUGAGGGCCGGCGCUAAACGCAUUAAGUGCCCCGCCUGGGGAGUACGGCCGCAAGGCUGAAACUCAAAGGAAUUGACGGGGGCCCGCACAAGCGGUGGAGCAUGGGGUUUAAUUCGACGCAACGCGAAGAACCUUACCUAGGCUUGACAUGGCCGGGAAAGCCGGGGGAAACCCUGGCCCCUCUUCGGAGCCCGGUCACAGGUGCUGCAUGGCUGUCGUCAGCUCGUGUCGUGAGAUGUUGGGUUAAGUCCCGCAACGAGCGCAACCCUUGUCACUAGUUACCAGCGGGUCAUGCCGGGCACUCUAGUGAGACUGCCGGUGCCAAACCGGAGGAAGUGGGGACACGUCAAGUCAUCAUGGUCCCUACGUCUAGGGCUACACACGUGCUACAAUGGCGGACAGCGGGUUGCGAAGCCGCAAGUGAGCCAAUCCCCAAACCGCCUCAGUUCGGAUUGUCGUCUGCAACUCGACGGCAUGAAG